rnacentral:misc_RNA from 1 species
GCAAACUUGGUCAUUUAGAGGAAGUAAAAGUCGUAACAAGGUAACCGUAGGUGAACCUGCGGUUGGAUCAUUUGUGAAUAAUUGCCAGAAGGCGGCCGAGAGGCAGCUGGAGGCUUUUGGGCCGAAAGGCCCUUGACCCGGUGAAUUGUAUGGAGAGUGGCAAGGCGGCCUUUUGGGUAGCCCUUGGGUGUAGCCUUUGGCUCUUGCCAUUUAAACUUUAUGACUGAUUGUCUGAUUAAACUUAAAUUAAAAACAACUUUUGACAACGGAUCUCUUGGUUCUCGCAUCGAUGAAGAACGCAGC